rnacentral:tRNA from 1 species
AAGAUUUUAAGUUAAAUUAAACUAAAAGCCUUCAAAGCUUAAAAUAAAAACUCAUUUUUAAAUCUUA